ensembl:snRNA U6 U6 spliceosomal RNA
GUGCUUGCUUUGGCAGCACAUAUACUAAAAUUGGAACAAUACAAAGAAGAUUAGCAUGGCCCCUGCACAAAGAUGAUAGAAAGAGAAAAAUCUGCCAUUGCUUU